UACGUAGGUGACAAGCGUUGUCCGGAUUUACUGGGCGUAAAGAGCGCGCAGGCGGUCGUUCAAGUCGAGUGUGAAAGCCCCCGGCUCAACUGGGGAGGGUCACUCGAUACUGAUCGACUUGAAGGCAGGAGAGGGUAGUGGAAUUCCCGGUGUAGUGGUGAAAUGCGUAGAUAUCGGGAGGAACACCAGUGGCGAAGGCGACUACCUGGCCUGUUCUUGACGCUGAGGCGCGAAAGCUAGGGGAGCAAACGGGGAU
rnacentral:rRNA from 1 species